rnacentral:lncRNA from 1 species
AAGCUAACAUCCUUUGUUUCUUUUGGCUAAGUAGGGAUUGGGAGCUAAAAUAGAAUGAGAAAGGUGGCAUCUUUCUUUGCAAGUAUACAACAACAAAGAGUCGUCAAGGCAACCACAGAACUACGCAACGAUAAAGGGCCAGAGGCGAAGUUAAAAAAUGACUAAACUAACUAGACUUAGCCAUCUUACUAGCUUCCCUCUAAAAAAAAUAGAACAGAGAGAAAGAGCGCAGUGGUAGAAAAGUAACAGAAGGGGUGUAAUAUUUGGAGUAUGUACUGACCUUGAUUGUUAGUCCCUAUAGAUAUAGACGAUUGAUUAGUUGUAUGGCUGCUUUUUGUGCAAAGGAAGCUUCUCCAGGUGAACGAGCAUUGAAAGCUAGCAUGUUAGGAUCAACCCGUAAUCCUGGAUUCAUUCCCCAUUCUUAGCUCGUCAUUCUCAUAGGGUUCAAAAUGGUCUUUCUUUAACUGAUUUUUAUGCUUUCUCCAAGCAUUUUGAAUUGAUUGAAAAAUCCACUUUUUUGCAUCUUCAUGAAUGUCAUAUUUUCCCUACAAAUUUAAUGCAUUUAGGUUAGUAUAAACAAUAUGAAAUAUCCACAAACACCUAUUACAUAUGGACAUCUACUACUAGAAGAGUUUCUGCUAUAAAACAGACGAUACUCAUUUCAACUAAAUAUGGACAAACUUGUUUCCAUUAAUUAAUCAUUGGGAUAGGCAACUCUUGAGCUGUAACAGUACUACUUGCACAUUAACUAAUGCAGAGGCGGAUGUAGUGUAUUAACUACCGGUUCAACUGAACCCAUAACUUUUGAUCGCGGAGUAAAACUUUAUAUGUAAAAAUUCAUUAAAGUUAUAAUAAUAAUAGAUAUGAACCAUAACUAUAACUAUAUAAUGGGUUCAAUAUUAAAAACAUUAAAACUAAACCCAUAGGAUUUAAAUCCUGGAUUCGCCUCUUAUCACUACGAAAAAAUUGGUCUACGGUAACGGUUGGACAACCGUUCCCAUAGACACCCUAUGGUCGUUGCCAUAGGUAUAUUGGAACGGUUUAUAACCCGUUACAUCCGCUCGCGUGCCGAUAGGCCUAUUGGAACGGUUCGUGUAACGGUUUGCAUCACCGUGACUAUAGAUACGUAUGUUGCAACGGUUUUCACCUUCUCUGUUGGAACGUUUAUUUUUUUCAAUUGGAACGGUUUAAAACCAUUACUAUAUUGUUUACACAACGGUUCUUAACCGUUACCAUAUUAUUUAAAGCAACACUUAUGUAAGCUAUUGUUACAGUUAUGUAUGGAUAUAACAACGGUUUCUGUAAGGUAUCGCAACUGUUAUAUUUGUAUUUGGAACCGUUUAUAGAUCAAUUUGGAAUAUUUUAUAGGAUCUAUUGCAACGGUUUAGUCAUUUGUGUCCUAUUGCAACGGUUCUGGUAGGCUAUUGUAUCAAUUCAAUUAAAACCAAAAUAUAGCACAUGUUAUAAAUAAAUAUUUAUAUAUAUAACAAAUAAUAAUAAUAACACUUGUUUUAAAAUACAUCAUAAAAUGAAACUAUUAAUAAUAUAAAAUUAUCCUUCAAGCAAAUAAUAUCCCUAAAGCAAAUAUUGUACCCAAGUGCAUAAGUUUAGUACAUUUCAAGAGAGUAAGUAAGUUUCAAAAAUGUUGAUAACAAAAGAUUCCUAGAACAUUCAUCUAUAAUAAUUCAAAAUUUUAUAAGUAAGGUCUAGUUCUUUUUCAUCAUCCAUUUCUUGAUCUACUCCAAAGGGGAUAAGAAAAGGAGUUUGGGAAAGGUGAGAGGUAUAUUUUUUCUCCAAGUGAAGUAAUUCCUAUGUGCUGGAGACUAUUUAAGUACAAAAACACAUUUAUACUCUGACUUUUAAUUUUAAUUCUUUAGUUCUAGAAGUAGAAUUCUCCCUAAUAAAUUGGGAAGAAACUGCAUUAUGAACCCGCACGUUCUACAAUUUGAAGGAAACAAGAGUGAAGGCAUCAUGACAUUUGCAUUAGAUUUUGUUUUACUUUGAAAGAUCAUAUUCUUUAAAAAAAUUCAAAACACUUGGACUGAUCAUUGUGAUAUUUCUUCAAGAUAACAUCCUUUGUUUCUUUUGGCUAAGUAGGGAUUGGGAGCUAAAAUAGAAUGAGAAAGGUGGCAUCUUUCUUUGCAAGUAUACAACAACAAAGAGCCAUCAAGGCAACCACAGAACUACGCAACGAUAAAGGGCCAGAGGCGAAGUUAAAAAAUGACUAAACUAACUAGACUUAGCCAUCUUACUAGCUUCCCUUUAAAAAAAAAAUAGAACAGAGAGAGAGAGAGAGCGCAGUGGUAGAAAAGUAACAGAAGGGAUGUACCAUUUGGAGUAUGUACUGACCUUGAUUGUUAGUCCCUAUAGAUAUAGACGAUUGAUUAGUUGUAUAGCUGCUUUUUGUGCAAAGGAAGCUUCUCCAGGUGAACGAGCAUUGAAAGCUAGCAUGUUAGGAUCAACCCGUAAUCCUGGAUUCAUUCCCCAUUCUAAGCUCGUCAUUCUCAUAGGGUUCAAAAUGGUCUUUCUUUAACUGAUUUUUAUGCUUUCUCCAAGCAUUUUGAAUUGAUUGAAAAAUUCACUUUUUUGCAUCUUCAUGAAUGUCAUAUUUUCC